GUUCAGCAGCUUAAGCAAAGCAGGUCUUCGCUUGGGUUUGGUUUUUUGCCAAGCACUCCGUCCUCCGCUUCUUCCGAUUGCUGCGCAAGGGCACACAUCGAUCCCAACGUCACCGGAGGUGGUUAGCGCCAACCGCCGAAGAAGAGAUGGAAGCACCCGAGGAGAACGCGGCGGCGCCUGCCGUGGACGCCGUCACCCAGAUGACCAACCGCUUCAGCGCCAUCAACACGGACGACGCCGACGGCGGCCCCCUCAAGCUCGAUGGCAACGUCUACAGCUGCAAGCACUGCAGCACUCGCCGUCGCCGACGACAUCAUCUCCAAGGACUUUUUUUGCAAGAAUGGGAAGGCUUACCUCUUCGAUAAGGUCUCCGCGGCUGUCACCGGACGGCUCCGCGACUGCCCCGGCCCCGGCGCUGCUUUGGUCAGAUGGACAAUUUAGUAACCUUAUAUCAUGGAGGAAGUGUGGAGAAAGAUCAGUUUGGCAAUGUUGAUUUUGUUGGAAUGCAAACGGUCCCUUUGAUGUUUGAUGAGCGGCCCUUGUUUUUUGAAUUGAUGGGUAGUGCUCGUGAUGAGCUUAAAUGUAAUUCGAAUGAAGAAGAAAUCUUAGUUGAGGGGGUCAUUCACUAUGGCGGGUCAGGGACAAUUUUUAGGCGGUUGGUCCCAAUUGUAUCCGAGGUUCAAUGGGACAAAUAUGUCAAAACUGUCAUGAAGAGUGAGUUUAAAUGUUUGGAUUUGGUUGUGCGCAACUUGUCCAAGGAGCCAGGCCCUCUAGUGGAUUCUCCUCUUAAUUGGCAACCACCCAUUGGUGGGUUCUCGCCGGAACCGGACAAUCCGGCACCCUCAGCUUCUCUGAUACCCAUUCAGGACGUGGGUGUGGAAGAUGUGGUUGUCGUUCCUGAUGCUCAAUCCGGUCCCAAUGAGGCUGGAAGAUUUGUCGGUGGUGUUGGUGUUGUUAGCCUUCCUUCGUUCUAUUUAGUUGUAAGUGGCGUAGUUGCAUUAUUCAUUUUGUUAGUUGUGUUGGCGUAGUUGGCCUAGAGACCCCUAUGACCCAGACUAUUCAAUGUAAGUGGCGUAGUUGCAUUAUUCAUUUUGUUAGCUUUCCUUCGUUCUA